rnacentral:tRNA from 1 species
GGAGAGCCGAGUAGAGAUCUAUGCGCGGACUGCGCACGGAGAAGCCCUGGCGAGGUUGCGUAGGACCCGGGUUCAAUUCCCGGCAGCUCCACCA